rnacentral:rRNA from 1 species
GAUGAACGCUAGCUACAGGCUUAACACAUGCAAGUCGAGGGGUAACGAGAGGGAAGCUUGCUUUCCUUGUCGACGACCGGCGCACGGGUGAGUAACGCGUAUCCAACCUGCCCCCAACUAGGGAAUAACCUUGCGAAAGUAAGACUAAUACCCUAUAAUUUCCUCAGAUGUCAUCUGACGAGGAAUAAAGAUUUAUCGGUUGUGGAUGGGGAUGCGUCUGAUUAGCUUGCUGGCGGGGUAACGGCCCACCAAGGCAACGAUCAGUAGGGGUUCUGAGAGGAAGGCCCCCCACAUUGGAACUGAGACACGGUCCAAACUCCUACGGGAGGCAGCAGUGAGGAAUAUUGGUCAAUGGGCGGAAGCCUGAACCAGCCAAGUAGCGUGCAGGAUGACGGCCCUGUGGGUUGUAAACUGCUUUUAUACAGGAAUAAAGUUAGCCACGUGUGGUUAUUUGUAGGUACUGUAUGAAUAAGGACCGGCUAAUUCCGUGCCAGCCGCCGCCGUAA